rnacentral:rRNA from 1 species
AGCCUGCCCAGUGACUCUGUUCAACGGCCGCGGUAUCCUAACCGUGCGAAGGUAGCGUAAUCACUUGUUCUUUAAAUAAGGACUAGUAUGAAUGGCACCACGAGGGUUAUACUGUCUCCUUUCUCUAAUCAGUGAAAUUGAUCUCCCCGUGAAGAAGCGGGGAUAACAUUAUAAGACGAGAAGACCCUAUGGAGCUUUAAACAAACUACAUAUGCUCUUCCUACACCAAAAUUUCUGAAAAUUAAAAUGUAUAUCAGCAUCAUGAUAGGGGGUUUUAGGUUGGGGUGACCGCGAAGAAAAACCUAUCCUCCGCACUGAAUAAGAUUACAUCUUUAGCCAAAAGUUACAACUUAACGCAUCAAUAAAUUGACAUUAUUGACCCAAUAUUUUGAACAACGAACCAAGUUACCCUAGGGAUAACAGCGCAAUCCACUUCGAGAGCCCCUAUCGACAAGUGGGUUUACGACCUCGAUGUUGGAUCAGGGUAUCCCAGUGGUGCAGCCGCUACUAAAGGUUC